rnacentral:rRNA from 1 species
ACGGAGGGUGCAAGCGUUGUUCGGAUUGACUGGGCGUAAAGGGCGUGUAGGCGGUUCGUUAAGUCGGGUGUGAAAGCCCGGGGCUCAGCUCCGGAAGUGCGCCCGAAACUGGCGAGCUGGAGCGCGGUAGAGGAGGGUGGAAUUCCUGGUGUAGCGGUGAAAUGCGUAGAUAUCAGGAGGAACACCGGCGGCGAAGGCGGCCCUCUGGACCGUUGCUGACGCUGAGACGCGAAAGCGUGGGGAGCAAACAGG